rnacentral:rRNA from 1 species
UACGUAGGGGCCUAGCGUUGUCCGGAAUUAUUGGGCGUAAAGAGCUCGUAGGCGGUUCGGCAAGUCGGAUGUGAAAUCUCCACGCUUAACGUGGAGGGGCCAUUCGAAACUGCUGUGACUCGAGUCCGGUAGGGGAGUGUGGAAUUCCCGGUGUAGCGGUGAAAUGCGCAGAUAUCGGGAGGAACACCGAUGGCGAAGGCAGGUCUCCGGUGGCCACUACUGACGCUGAGAAGCGAAAGCAUGGGAGCGAAGAGGA